rnacentral:sRNA from 1 species
UAUAUGAUGUGGAAGCAACUCUACUCGCGCGUGCGCCUUGCUUGAGUGGACAGUUGGACACAUGAUCUUCGCCCAUGAUGAUUAGCUGCUCAAUUUGCCCGAUUGAUAGUCAAGUGUUCAUCGGCUGGUAGCGUGUCACCCUUUUAGCGUGAUGACGCACCAAACUGCCGUGGUGACAUAUGCAGUGUUAUGCCAUAGAUACUUAGUAUUAGUGAAGAACUAUUAUAACAUAUCUCUCUCAAAAGAAAUUAUUGUACUUCUAUUCU